GAUGAAGAACGCAGCGAAAUGCGAUACGUAAUGUGAAUUGCAAAUUCAGUGAAUCAUCGAGUCUUUGAACGCACAAUGCGCCCCCUGGUAUUCCGGGGGGCAUGCUUGUCCGAGCGUCAUUGCUGCCCUCAAGCACGGCUUGUGUGUUGGGCCCCGUCCUCCGAUCCCGGGGGACGGGCCCGAAAGGCAGCGGCGGCACCGCGUCCGGUCCUCGAGCGUAUGGGGCUUUGUCACCCGCUCUGUAGGCCCGGCCGGCGCUUGCCGAUCAACCCAAAUUUUUAUCCAGGUUGACCUCGGAUCAGGUAGGGAUACCCGCUGAACUUAAGCAUAUCAAUAAGCGGAGGA
rnacentral:misc_RNA from 1 species